rnacentral:misc_RNA from 1 species
GAUGAAGAACGCAGCGAAAUGCGAUAAGUAAUGUGAAUUGCAGAAUUCAGUGAAUCAUCGAAUCUUUGAACGCACAUUGCGCCCGGUAGUAAUCUGCCGGGCAUGCCUGUCCGAGCGUCAUUUCAACCCUCGAACCACUAUUCGCGUAGCUGGAUCGGUGUUGGGGCACUACGGUGGAAUACCCGUGGGCCCCGAAAUGAAGUGGCGGUCCCGCCGCGGCGCCCCCAUGCGUAGUAACAUCUCGUCUCGCAUCGGGUCCCGGCGGAGGCCUGCCGUCAAGCCUAUUUUCUAAUUACAGAUGGUUUGACCUCGGAUCAGGUAGGGUUACCCGCUGAACUUAAGCAUAUCAAUAAGCGGAGGA